AAGAGAGAUAAUCUGUGCCACAGAUGCUGGCCCUGCAGUUAGCUCCCACCUAGUCCGUGCACACACAUUCUAAUCCCCUCCCAUUCCUUUACAUGCUGCGGCCAGAGAGGCCUUUCUCAAAGUGGAAGUCUCAUCCUCACUUCUCUGGUUACAGUGCUGGGCCAUGGUAACUUACAAGGCUUAGCAGGAACUGUCUGCGCACUCCCCCUUCCUGCCCACUACCUUGUUUCCCUCCAGUUGCGAGAGAAAACAUUGAUUGAGCAUUAACUAUGUGCCAGGCUUGUCCUAAGUCCUUUGCAUGUAUUCACUCAAACAAUCCUCACAACAUUCCUAUCACAUCUCCCAUUUCACAGUGAGGGUUCUAAAGCACGUAGUGGGUGAGGAACUUGUCCAGGGUCACACAACUAAGUGGGGGUGGAGAAACAUCAAAUCUAGGUGGUCCAGGUGGUGGCCAGAACCCAUCAGCACCUCACUACAGCUGCCUCCAGUUUCUCGCUCUAGGAAAUACUCUUCCCUGUCAACUCCUGUUGUCCUCUGGGCUCAGUUGACAUGUCAUCUCCUUGAGGAGGACAUCCUGAGAUGCUCCCCGACUAGGGUGGGCACCCACUUCCACACUCCAAAUGCCUAUUUGACCUGUGUAUCGCUGCAUCCCCACUGCCUGGCAGAUAGCAGGCCCCUAAUAAAUAUGAUUUGAGCAAAUAAAUAUAGUUCUUCAAAAAAUAGGGAGGACUUCUUGCUUCAGGUAAUGGUAGGCUAGGACAUUUGGACCAACCCUCCUGCAGAAAAUAGCCAUUUAUUUUGAUGCAAUAUAUCUGGCUAUGACUAGAGAUUUCAAAUAUUUGGAGGGCUAUUAUGUGAAGAACUAAACUUACUCUUUGUGACAUAGAGGUCAGAAAUUGGUCGUUUCCAUAGAGUAUGAGAGAGACAGAAUUGUGCUCAUCAUAAGUAUCUUUUUUAAAAGUUAGACUUAAUAAAAUGGGCUGCCUUGGUAGGUGGUGAGUUCUCUGUCACGAAAGAGAUUCAGCCACUUGCUCUGAGAAAGCAUGGAGAAUAUCAACAUUGUAA
rnacentral:lncRNA from 1 species